AGAAGAAUCAAGACCCCAACAAGACCGAAGAAAAGAAGACUCAAGACCCCAACAAGACCACAGUAAAAGUGGAACAAGACCAAGAAGAAGAAUAUAUACCAGAACAAGACCAAGAAGAAGAAUGGCAAUUUAAAAGUAAAAGGAAAAAAAGGAAGAAGUCCAAAGAAAAUGACUCUGCAAACAAACAGCUUCGGCCGAAAUAGCCUAACGGCGAAGUGGCCAGUAAUUCCCAAACAAACUAAAAAAAACAUUGUGACGUCACUUGAAAGCCAUUUGCCUGCAUAUGUCGCUACUGCCCUCUGUGGAUAUCAAGCUUUUGUAGCCUUCCUUAACCAAUACAAGAGAGGACAGGUGCUGCCACGGGCGGCCGCAGGAUUUUUCCAGGGGGGCUGCAAGAAAGCAAGACAAGACCUGACAUAUCAGUUUAUUCAAAACAGCUGGUGACCGCCAAAUGCAAGCGAAAGCAUGUUGAAGUCGACUCGUUAACCGAGGGAUCACUGUACACAGUAGUAACUCUGCCUUGUUCAACUGAACAUGUCUGUCCCCAGCCCGGAUAAAGGAGGAGGGCUACUGCAGUGUUGCAGAUAUUAUCACCUCAUAAACUUUGUUUUCAGACCAAUUUAUAAUACAAGGCAAAACUGACUUCCAUUUAACAAUUGGUGUGCAGUGUCCUGAUUGUCAACAUUCCGUAAGUAAAAUCCCUAUUGUACUUUACUUUCAUGCACUAUGUAUACAUUACAGUACUUUCAAAAUAAUAGUAUCUAUACAGAAUAAAAAACGUAUCAUUACGGACAUGGCCGAUGAAUUUAAAAAUGAACACCAACACCUCUUGUCUCCGAGGUGUCAUUGUCUAGCACCACCAUAAGGAUGCAUUUUUUAUGUACACCUUGUAAUAACUGCACUGAAAGGAGAUAUUACAAUGCCAUCUGUAGGUACAGUCCUGUGGUCAUCUUUUGUUUUGAUUUUGCAUACUCAAUAGGUCACUACUUGGGCAUUAGUUUGUAACAGUUCUACAUAGGCUGGCAUCUUGGAUGUCAAUUAGUGUACAUAGGCUAUCAUGUUGGCAUCAAAGAGGAUCCAUAUACUUUGCACCUCACCUUCAGGUUUCAAGUUCAGUUUGCAAGAUCAUUAUUAUUCUACUUUUCCAAAAUCGGAGUAUAGAACAUGUCAAAUUUAUUCAGUGUUUAUUUGAUUAUGAACAUAUAUUAUAUAAUGAGCCAACAUUAUAUUCUCUUUCUCGAUACAAGUGCCAACCAUUACACAAUAUAUCUACCUUUUUAAUCUGUGUGGCUUGACUCGAGGCUGACUUACACAUUCUUAAAUAUUACUUUACUGUACUUUUUAAAUAUUUUCUCAAUUCUUAAUUGCAUAAAUAAAUUUGUGCUUCAUAAUGUGGUAGUCAUGAAGGUGUGGGCUGUGGGAUGGUUGACAGUACAGAACAGUCGCUGAGGUCAUCUGGCCAUCUUGCUUUCACAUCCGGUACAUCGAUCUUGAACGCCAACCACCUGUAAUAAGAUUUUGAAUUUAGAUCAUUCUUCAUUAACAUUAAUGUAGCAUUAUCAAUACACAACAUUUACCCCAAAAUUUAUUGCAUUCUAUACUUGCAUCCUUACAUAUAUCCAUACACUUGAGCACCCUCCUAUAUAACACCUUACACGUGAGCACCAGCCUUCCUGCUCUUAUGGCUACAGCAGUCUUCUCACAGGCAUCAUCCACAACAUUCCUUCACAGUACAUGCCAUUUUACCCAAAGUAUGAGCGCCCCUCCACU